rnacentral:rRNA from 1 species
AUUGAACGCUGGCGGCAGGCCUAACACAUGCAAGUCGAGCGGAUGAAGGGAGCUUGCUCCUGGAUUCAGCGGCGGACGGGUGAGUAAUGCCUAGGAAUCUGCCUGGUAGUGGGGGAUAACGUCCGGAAACGGGCGCUAAUACCGCAUACGUCCUGAGGGAGAAAGUGGGGGAUCUUCGGACCUCACGCUAUCAGAUGAGCCUAGGUCGGAUUAGCUAGUUGGUGGGGUAAAGGCCUACCAAGGCGACGAUCCGUAACUGGUCUGAGAGGAUGAUCAGUCACACUGGAACUGAGACACGGUCCAGACUCCUACGGGAGGCAGCAGUGGGGAAUAUUGGGCAAUGGGCGAAAGCCUGAUCCAGCCAUGCCGCGUGUGUGAAGAAGGUCUUCGGAUUGUAAAGCACUUUAAGUUGGGAGGAAGGGCAGUAAGUUUAUACCUUCCUGUUUUGACGUUACCAACAGAAUAAGCACCGGCUAACUUCGUG